rnacentral:misc_RNA from 1 species
CGCACCUUGCGCUCCUUGGUAUUCCGAGGAGCAUGCCUGUUUGAGUGUCAUUAUAUUCUCAACCCCUCCAUUUGUGAUGGGGCUUGGAGUUGGAAGUUUGCGGGCCUUCUAAAGGUCAGCUCUUCUGAAAUGCAUUAGCGGAACCGUUUGCAGUCCCGUCACUAGUGUGAUAAUUAUCUACACUGUGAUGAUUGCUCUCUAGUUUGUUCAGCUGCUAAUCGUCCCUCAUCGGACAACACUUUAAUGAACCUCUUGACCUCAAAUCAGGUAGGACUACCCGCUGAACUUAA